CCCACAGGCACACGCCACACUGCCGACCGAAACUUCACAGGACAGCGGUGACCCUUCAAAAGAUCAGCAACAUAGUGCAGUACCCGUGAAUAUGUCAAAGAUAAAGGCUUUAUUAUACUUACAACAGCACUGCUAGAAAUCAGCGUAUAAAGUCAUCUGAAAUAUCACUGCGCGACCCGGGUUUCGCCUGGAGGCUUCGUCAGGGGCUCUACAAAGGUUCAUACAAUAUAGGAUCCUCUCAGUGGAUAUCUUCUAUAUGACAGCAAUCUCCUGAUUGACCCUUCAAGGAUGGAUAGGGACAGGGACAAGAUGGCGGAGAGUAUAAUAAAUCUCACCCUAGAGGUCCUCUUCUUGCUUACUGGAGAGGACUACACAGUAGUAAAGAAGACCUCUAGUGAGCGCUGUCAGGACCCUGUGUC